GGGCGGUCCAGCCAAUUUCACGUCGUCUUUAUUUAUUUUAUACUUGUUUUGUACACAACUAGGCAAAGCACCCAACCCAACGCAACCGCUUUAUAUAUUGAGAUUUCACCCUUUUCUCCUCUGAAAUUACUCACAUCUCUCUGUAUAUUGAGUUGAUCGUUUACGAGUAAUCGGCCUCUGCGAAGGGCCCUUUAGGUAAUUUGGACAACUGACAAACAGAUUUGAGUCUGAAGAUCGGUGUGCUCAUCAAGUUUCAUUAUAGUCAUCUGCUCUGGUUGCUGUGUCUUAUAUGAUGGCGUUUAUAUUGGGAGAGCAAACUUUAGGGUACUUUGUUAAUAAAGCUGCAGAAUUAUCUUAGGACCUUGUUCUGUGGAAUUUAAUUUUUUCAGAGAACUCAAUUUUGUUGUAAAAACAUUGCAGUUUUAUAUGAGGAUUGUGUGAAGCCUUAGAAUCUUGAGAUUCUUUAUUAUCGGUGUUAAAUUUGUGGCACACCGAGUGUAGUUGGUAUUUAGUGGCAUCUUUGAUAAGAAAUGACUGGUUCAAUUUAUAUCUUAUUUUAGUUUCUAAUACACUUGGGAGAUUCCAUGGCUUCCAAAACUUGUGUUUC